GUCCCGGGUGCGGCGGGACUUGACCGUGCGGGGCUUGCCGCUGCGCAGGACCUGGUCCAUGAGGGGCAGCAGGCCGAGCUCCUCGGCCUCGGGGCA
rnacentral:tRNA from 1 species